AUUGCGGCAGGCUACCAUGCAAGUCGGACGGUAGCACAGAGAGCUUGCUCUCGGGUGACAAGUGGCGGACGGGUGAGUAAUGUCUGGGGAUCUGCCCGAUAGAGGGGGAUAACCACUGGAAACGGUGGCUAAUACCGCAUAACGUCUCAAGACCAAAGAGGGGGACCUUCGGGCCUCUCACUAUCGGAUGAACCCAGAUGGGAUUAUCUAGUAUGCGGGGUAAUGGCCCACCUAGGCGACAAUCCCUAGCUGGUCUGAGAGGAUGACCAGCCACACUGGAACUGAGACACGGUCCACACUCCUACGGGAGGCAGCAGUGGGGAAUAUUGCACAAUGGGCGCAAGCCUGAUGCACCCAUGCCGCGUGUAUGAAAAAAGCCUUCGGGUUGUAAAGUACUUUCAGCGGGGAGGAAAGCGGUGCGGUUAAUAACCGCGCCGAUUGACGUUACCCGCACAAAAAACACCGGCUAACUCCGUGCCAGCAGCCGCGGUAAUUUAAA
rnacentral:rRNA from 1 species